AGAAGAGGGCGUCAGAUCCCAUUACACAUGGUUAUGAGCCAUCUCUCCGGCCCAUGCCACCUUUUUUCGUUAAAGGUUUUAGCAGUUAAAUUUCAGUCCCCAGGAGUUUUGGCUUUAUAUAGCUCUGCAACAGUCCGAAGCCUAACUACACACACUGGCUACCGCAUCCUGUGUCUAUCGGUUGACAUUCCCUGGGUGGUGCCCUAGGUUCUGGUCUCCCUCAAUUGAGAGUGAUGAUUUCACAGACUAGAGUCUCUGACGCUGUCCUUGAUGUCAGCUAUAAAUCUGACUCAUUUGGGGAACCUCUUGAGAUUGAGCCCAGUGUGCCAACACUGGCUCUGGUGAGGAACAUACCCUGCUCUCCUGUUUCUCAUUGUGCCCAUCUUAACUCUCCAGGGUGAGCUCUGAGGACUUAGCAGGGGCCCCAUCCCCUCACCUAGAUGAGGGCUAACCUUGGAAUCCAGACAAAGGUGGAAGUGACCUAGAUGUGACCUGAAUGAGCUAAUCAUCUAAUGAGAGCCAGCCCUUUGUCCUGCCCGCAUGAAGGGCUUUGCUGCUACGCACUGACAAGUUGGACGGCUUUUUAUUGCUUUGUUGCCAGUUAUCUGAACAUGAGAGGCUGUAAGGUGUAAUCUGCGAGCCCUGCGCCCAGACUGAACCAGGGCCUCCCUUGAACAUGAGUAUUAGACAAUGAAAUAAGAACUUAUCUUGCCCAGACUAUAUAAUGGCUUGGAAAUGCAUAGUUUCCUGAACGAUCUCAAUAAAAUACUUUUAAAAGUACUU
ensembl:processed_transcript 1110038B12Rik RIKEN cDNA 1110038B12 gene